CAUCUACCUCGAAGUGGGGAAUAACGAGCCGAAAGGUUCGCUAAUACCGCAUGUGGUCGAGAGAUGAAAGGGCGAUUCGAAAGAAUUGUUCGCUUUGAGCGGAGCCUGCGGUCGAUCAGGUAGUUGGUGAGGUAACGGCUCACCAAGCCGCUGACCGAUAGCUGAUCUGAGAGGAUGACCAGCCACACUGGCACUGAGAAACGGGCCAG
rnacentral:rRNA from 1 species